AAGGGGGGGUGGAAGGUUGUUGUUUCUAAGUCCCACAUUGGUUAGAUGAGGGAAGAGAAGAGGUGCCUUCAUGUAUAAAAAGGAGGGGGUGUGUGCAUUAGGAAGCAUGAGAGGCUAAGAUGCAAUUUAGAGAAAAUUGCAACUUUGGGCCCAAAGGUUUGAAUAAUUAAAUUCAAACCUAUAGUUUUUUUUUUAAUAUAAUUUUGGGACUCACAAUCCCAUUUUUAUAUUAUUUUUCUCUCUUCCUCUCACGUUGCUCGGCGUUUUCUCGCAAGGGGGGAUUAUUUUCUUUUUUCUUCAGAUUAUAUUGACAAAGAUAGUGGUGAAAAAGGAGUUGUGAAGGGGAACUUGUUAUUCAAGACACAAGGAGCGAAUCCGGCCGAGAAAGCACCAGAGGUGUAAUUAUGGUGUAUGAGACACCAUCUUUUACGUUGCCUCUUAUUUUGGAUUAUACAAUGUAUCUUGUGCCAACUUAGGACAUAUCUUGUCUAUGGAGCAUGUAAAC